rnacentral:rRNA from 1 species
CUGGCGGCGUGCCUAACACAUGCAAGUCGAACGAGAAAGUGGAGCAAUCCAUGAGUAGAGUGGCGACCGGGUGAGUAACACGUGACUAACCUGCCCUCGAGUGGGGAAUAACCCCGGGAAACCGGGGCUAAUACCGCAUAACAUCGCAAGAUCAAAGCCGAAAGGCGCUUGAGGAGGGGGUCGCGGCUGAUUAGCUAGUUGGUAGGGUAAUGGCCUACCAAGGCAAAGAUCGGUAGCCGGCCUGAGAGGGCGCACGGCCACACUGGAACUGAAACACGGUCCAGACUCCUACGGGAGGCAGCAGUGGGGAAUUUUGCGCAGUGGGGGAAACCCUGACGCAGCAACGCCGCGUGGAGGAUGAAGUCCUUUGGGACGUAAACUCCUUUCGACCCGGACGAUACUGACGGUACGGGUGGAAGAAGCACCGGCUAACUCUGUGCCAGCAGCCGCGGUAAUACAGAGGGUGCGAGCGUUGUUCGGAAUUAUUGGGCGUAAAGGGCGCGUAGGCGGUGUGGUAAGUCACCUGUGAAAUCUCCUG